UUUUUUUUUUUUUUUUACAUCACAAAAACCUAGCGCUUCAACAGUGGUGUGUAGAUAUUUUCGAUCCACUAUAAUUCUCCUUUGGUGAGAUUUUACGACCCCAAAUAUAAUCCAUUUUCUUCACAAUGAAGCAUCUGGCAGCAACAAAUGAAGUAAAUUUUACCGUGUUGGUACCAUUUGAGAGAGGAGCAACACAGAGGAAAGAUCAGAGACCUUGAAUGGGAACCAAGUUUUGUUUUGAUGGGGUGUUUGAUAAGAUGUGUUCUGUCGACUGAGCAGCAUGACAAGAAGCCGAUGAAGGCUAUCAAAAUGAGUGGUCACGAUGGGGAGGAAACGAAGGCGGAAGCAAAGUCAUCUUUCCAAUGCUGCGUUUCUAAACAUUGUCUGCCAGAGAAGUAAUUCAUAAGAGUGGGAUAAGCAGCGAGUGGAAGAUGCAGAAAUGGUGGCAGAUUGACACACGGACUUUCCUCCACGUGACUUUAGUAUGCAUUGAACGAAUUGAAUUUGACUUCCUGUUCCUAUUUAUUUGCCCGAGAGUCAAGGCGGUUGCUUUUCGACCAACUUUGCCAGGGCCUUGGACGAUGUAAACAAGAGUUGCCGUCUAUUGGGCGAUGCCGAAUUCAAAGCAGUAUGUCCACUUUAGCAUUCAGUGUACUAUGCAAGACCAAAGUGAUGGUGGCAGGCCCGGGCUUCUCUGUUUAGCCUUUCAGGAGGAUCUCGACUCACAUAUCAGAAACAUCAGCCACAGCUGGAACAUGAUCCUGUGAUUUGACAUCGUCGCAACUCUUCAGAUGACAACCAGGGACUUGAAAUGUAUCACAUUUUAUGGACUCUUUUCAUACUAUACACGAAGAUACCUUGUGAUCAAAUUAACCCAAAGACAUGUACCGUAAAUGAAUAAGAGAAUACAAAAAAAUAGACAUCUGCUAAAGAAAAUGAAAUGGGUGUUGUCUCGCUAAACUACCCUCUGUCUCCCUCUUUUUCUCUUAAGUUGUGUCUCAGCUUUGUUACUGCGCCUUUUUAGCUGACCCGCAUGGCAUGAG